rnacentral:tRNA from 1 species
GGGCUCGUAGCUCAGUGGUUAGAGCGUUGCACUCACAUUGCAAAGGUCACUGGUUCAAGUCCAGUCGAGCCCA